rnacentral:rRNA from 1 species
UGUUGGGUUAAGGUCCCGUAACGAGCGCAACCCUUGUCCUUAGUUUACCAGCACGGUUAUGGUGGGCGACUCUAAGGAGACUGCCGGUGACAAACCGGAGGAAGGUGGGGAUGACGUCAAGUCAUCAUGGCCCUUACGGCCUGGGCUACACACGUGCUACAAUGGUCGGUACAAAGGGUUGCCAAGCCGCGAGGUGGAGCUAAUCCCAUAAAACCGAUCGUAGUCCGGAUCGCAGUCUGCAACUCGACUGCGUGAAGUCGGAAUCGCUAGUAAUCGUGAAUCAGAAUGUCACGGUGAAUACGUUCCCGGGCCUU